CCUACGGGAGGCAGCAGUGGGGGAUAUUGCACAAUGGGGGGAACCCUGAUGCAGCGACGCCGCGUGGGCGAUGGAGUGCUUCGGCAUGUAAAGCCCUAUCAGCAGGGAAGAAAAUGACGGUACCUGACUAAGAAGCCACGGCUAACUACGUGCCAGCAGCCGCGGUAAUACGUAGGUGGCAAGCGUUGUCCGGAUUUAUUGGGCGUAAAGCGAGUGCAGGCGGUUCAAUAAGGCUGAUGUGAAAACCUUCGGCUCAACCGGAGAA
rnacentral:rRNA from 1 species